GAUGAACGCUGGCGGCGUGCUUAACACAUGCAAGUCGAACGGAAAGGCCCUGCUUUUGUGGGGUGCUCGAGGGGCGAGGGGGUGAGAAACACGUGAGUAACCCGCCCUUGUCUUUGGGAUAACUUCAGGAAACAGGGGAGAAUACCGGAGAGAAGAUCCUGCUGCGUGGGGUGGGUUGGAGAAUUUCGGCGGUGGGGGAUGGACUCGCGGCUUAUCAGCUUGUUGGUGGGGUAGUGGCUUACCAAGGCUACGACGGGUAGCCGGCCUGAGAGGGUGACCGGCCACAUUGGGCCUGAGAUACGGCCCAGACUCCUACGGGAGGCAGCAGUGGGGAAUAUUGCACAAUGGGCGGAAGCCUGAUGCAGCAACGCCGCGUGCGGGAUGACGGCCUUCGGGUUGUAAACCGCUUUCGCCUGUGACGAAGCGUGAGUGACGGUAAUUGGUAAAGAAGCACCGGCUAACUACGUG
rnacentral:rRNA from 1 species